rnacentral:rRNA from 1 species
UACGAAGGGGGCUAGCGUUGUUCGGAUUAACUGGGCGUAAAGGGUGCGUAGGCGGGUUUUUAAGUCAGGGGGGAAAUCCCGAGGCUCAACCUCGGAACUGCCUUUGAUACUGGAAAUCUUGAGUCUGGGAGAGGUGAGUGGAACUGCGAGUGUAGAGGUGAAAUUCGUAGAUAUUCGCAAGAACACCGGUAGCGAAGGCGGCUCACUGGCCCGGAACUGACGCUGAGGCACGAAAGCGUGGGGAGCAAACAGG